CGCUGCUUGGUGUAACACUAGCAUCUCCGUCUCUGGUGCGGAGGGUGGGGGUUCGAGUCCCUCAGCAGUUG